GAUGAACGCUGGCGGCGUGCCUAAUACAUGCAAGUCGAGCGAACAGACGAGGAGCUUGCUCCUCUGACGUUAGCGGCGGACGGGUGAGUAACACGUGGAUAACCUACCUAUAAGACUGGGAUAACUUCGGGAAACCGGAGCUAAUACCGGAUAAUAUAUUGAACCGCAUGGUUCAAUAGUGAAAGACGGUUUUGCUGUCACUUAUAGAUGGAUCCGCGCCGCAUUAGCUAGUUGGUAAGGUAACGGCUACCAAGGCAACGAUGCGUAGCCCACCUGAGAGGGUGAUCGGCCACACUGGAACUGAGACACGGUCCAGACUCCUACGGGAGGCAGCAGUAGGGAAUCUUCCGCAAUGGGCGAAAGCCUGACGGAGCAACGCCGCGUGAGUGAUGAAGGUCUUCGGAUCGUAAAACUCUGUUAUUAGGGAAGAACAAAUGUGUAAGUAACUAUGCACGUCUUGACGGUACCUAAUCAGAAAGCCACGGCUAACUACGUG
rnacentral:rRNA from 1 species